rnacentral:rRNA from 1 species
GCGUUUAGUAUUUGGUCGUAGACCCGAAACCAGGUGAUCUACCCUUGGUCAGGUUGAAGUUCAGGUAACACUGAAUGGAGGACCGAACCGACUUACGUUGAAAAGUGAGCGGAUGAACUGAGGGUAGUGGAGAAAUUCCAAUCGAACCUGGAGAUAGCUGGUUCUCUCCGAAAUAGCUUUAGGGCUAGCCUCAAGUGAUGAUUAUUGGAGGUAGAGCACUGUUUGGACGAGGGGCCCCUCUCGGGUUACCGAAUU